rnacentral:rRNA from 1 species
GAGUUUGAUCUUGGCUCAGAACGAACGCUGGCGGCAGGCCUAACACAUGCAAGUCGAACGAACCAGCAAUGGUGAGUGGCGCACGGGUGCGUAACGCGUGGGAAUCUACCCUUGACUACGGACAACGUCGGGAAACUGACGCUAAUACCGUAUAAUGUCUCCGGACCAAAGAUUUAUCGGUCAAAGGAUGAGCCCGCGUUAGAUUAGGUAGUUGUGGGGUAAUGGCCUACCAAGCCGACGAUCUAUAGCUGGUCUGAGAGGAUGAUCAGCCACACUGGUACUGAGACACGGACCCAGACUCCUACGGGAGGCAGCAGUGGGAAUUA